AACAGGCUGAUUUAGACCCUAAUCGGAAUGGUGAUUUCAGGACCACAAAUUCGAGUAAGAAAAAUAUUUAAAAAUUAUUUUUUAUGUUUAUUAUGUGUGAAUUAAUAUCUGUGAAAUUUUCGUGAUUUAAUUUUAUUGUUUGAGUGUCCGAUUAAAUAAAAGGACUUAAUCGCGUAAAAGGAAAAGUUGGUGGUUAAAUGUGAAAGUACUUAAUCGUUGUUGUCUUUAUAAGUGGAGGCAUUUAUAAUGAAUUAGACCAAAGUUAUGAGUAGUGGACGGUAAUGGCCUUAGAUUCUUGUAACACCC
rnacentral:lncRNA from 1 species